GUAAACAAUAGUAUACAUUAUCAUACAGACUGAUACACAGAUAAAGACAAAAAUGCCUGCAUGAGCACUUCUUACUAUGGUCAACAACUUGAAUAUGGUUCCCUAUGAUAACCUAGAAUUUUUUGUGGUAGAAGACAUGGGGUAUCUAGAUGUGCAAGAGAUCAAAUAGAGAGAAGAAGAUAUAGAGGGUGAUAGAAAUAUAUUGGAAGAAGGAGAGACAUAUGAUAGGCGGAGAGAAUCGCGGAGAAAGUCGUGGAUGGACCAGCCGAACGGCAACAAAGUACCCCUC
rnacentral:lncRNA from 1 species